GGCUCCCACCCCCUUCUAAUGCUGGUUCAACUCCGGCCGGUAGGAAAUCCCCCUCUGGUUCAACAGUGUUUCAAUUUUCAUUAAGACAUACCUUCCCGAGGCAAGCCCAGGUUCGUUUUAACCAACCUUCACGGGAACCUCCUCCUAAUUCUCUCUCUGAUAGCUAUAUGCCUGUAUCCAUGCCGGAGACUAUCGGUGACCGUGAAAACUCCGUUAACUCCGCCGAUGAGCCUACAGUAAUCCAGAGAAAAGAAUCUUCGCUGUGGCAGAUGGUAACGGCUCUCGCCCUUCUGCUCGGUCCCUUACAUUUGGUCGCGGCAUUGAUUCCCAUGGCGUGCUUCCUUCCAAAUUACCUAGCUUUCUCGAUUUGUUCUGCUCUUGUUUUUUACGGUGCUUCCUAUUAACGAUGAAAGUAAAUUAGGUCGAACAUUGGCAUGGUACAUCUGUUACCAUUGCUGUGCGUAUUUUCCGUUGACGCUGCAUGUAGAGGAUAUAAAGGCGUUUGAAUCCAAACGAGCUUAUGGUAUGCAUUUAUUCAUUCAAUUGCCAAUAUAUGAUGUUUCAGUUCUUUUUGGCCUGCCCGACGGUCCUGGAUCCUGGACCAAGGAUAGGUUACGCUGAUUUUGUUCAUGACAGACUCUAUCCAAUCUGGGCUAAUACGGAGCUGACCUAUCAACUUUUGCGAUUGGAACACUGUUGAUCCAGAGGGGGAGGAGGGGGAUUUCCUACCAGCCGGAGUUGAACCAGCGCUAGAAGGGGGAGGGAAGGGAAGAUAUCUUACGUGUAAAUUGUUGCACGUAAAAUUGAGGUCACAUGAAAAUGGGACAACUGUCACCAAGUGAUUGGGUUAGUAGGAAAGGCAGCAGAAUGGGGUUAGUGGGAAAUCCGGACACCCUUCAAACCUUCUGCAGUUCGGCGGUUGAACUCUGAAUAUCCGACCUGUAUUACUCCGGCCAGGUCAUCAUGGAUCUCUCUCUCCUUUCCUCUUCUUCUUCUGCAAAUCCGCUCCUACUCUAUUUGGGAUCGAUCUACUUCUUCACUGCUACCAUUAACAAGUUUUUCACACCAGUCAAUCCAAGCAAUCGGUGAGUACAGUUCAUAGUUGAAACUCACAGAUUUUCGCAGUUUUGUAUGUAGUUUGUACGCCAAACUUGCUGUUUGAAAGCUCAGUCAUUUUUAUUUAUUUAUUUGUAAGUGGGCUUUCAUUAAACCAAGGAAACAAGAGAAGCUCCACCAAAUAUUACACGUUUGGCCAAGGUGGACGGUAAUUUAUAAACGAGAUAAAAGCUGUUUUGAUUUCUGGCCAGGUUUGCCAUGUAGUGAGCCUUACUAUUGUUUUUCCUAUUCACAUACAAGAAAAGACAAGUGUUAUUGAGCAUAUGGUUGGGGCUACAUCCAUGUUCUUAAAACUUGUCAAAAAGUAAUACAGAUUGUUUUCUUCAGUUCAGAUUAACAGACUUUUGCAUUCAGUUGGAUUGCCAAUGUCA